ensembl:lncRNA
CCAGACAGCCAUGGAUUUGAUGAAAUAAUCCUCCUGUGCAAAACAUCGGGGUGGUGUUGGGUGGUCCAUCUCCUGGGAAAUCUGACUGCUGAACAAGCCAUUGGUUUUGCUCUAAAUCACGAUUAAUGGGAAUGUUGUGAAGCCUUGGUGUAAUUCGUUUGGAAUGCGAAUAACAAUAAUUACACAGUUAUUCCCCAUUACCAGGUCCUGUUUAGUGUCUCCAGCGUGGUGCGGGAUCUAAGACGAUUGGCCUAAUUUCACGAGGUUAUUGAGGGACUAAACCGUGUUGAACCGCGCAGUGACCUAAACCUCUGCUAAUCUGAGGUGUACCCUUACAUGAUCGUUGGUUAGUUUUAUUUCGUUUUUGUCGUAUAGAUCGAUCAAAUAGAUUUGCCAAUAACACCAAUCUUCUUUUUUUUUUUAUCUAUAUUUUCUUUUGUUUAGAAUAGAUUUGCUCAUAGCAUCAUUGCUCGCAAUAUGCACAUUCAUUGCAAUACUUUUUUUUUUUGAUCUCUCACAAAACUAGUGUUUAUGGUCGUACUCUAUAGGUGUGUCCUCGAUUACCAAGCCACAAGUGGUGUGCCCAGCCCACACUGUAAAAAGAGAGUGGUUGUUCAGUUGCAGAUGGUGUGAAAUGGGGGAUGGGGGUCAGUGAAAGUUUGAAAAAGCAUAAGAGGGCUGUUUCCAGCCCCUGUGCUAAGAUGUCUUCAACGCCUGCCUAAAAAAAAAACAGUUUUCAGAAAGUCUUGCAAGAGGUCUAUCUACUUGUAAAGGCAGUUUUGGAGUGGGUUGCCAUUGGAAGCUGCAUUUGUUGUCAGGUUGUUGGCUUUUGUGGUACAGGGUUGAUUGUAAAACAUGAUCAUAACCUCAGCUUCAGGUUACUUCAGCCCAGGCUGCAGCCAUACAUUGUGCUUGUGUGCUUUAAGUACUUCAAGCUUGUGCUGAUUUUCUCUCGUAUGCUUGUGUUCCUGGUGCUCCACCGGUAGGGCAAGGUGCCAACAACACCAAGGUGUAAGGUGGCGACAGUGGUACAGUGGUAGAGAAGUCGUUUAGUAAUCAGAAGGUUGCUAGUUCGAUUCCCUGUCGAAGCGUCCUUGAGCAAGACACUGAACCCCUAAUUGCUCCUGAUGUGCAGUGUGCCAUCAGUGUAAAAUGUGUAUACAUUGUAAGUCGCACAUAUGUAAGUCGCUUUGGAUAAAAGCGUCUGCUAAAUGACUAAAUGUAAAUGUAAAGGUCAUUGGUCCAAUGCCAUGGGAGCCAGUUCAAUUAGACAAUGUAAAUUAGACAAAGCCCUGACCCCUGAUGUAGAACUGGACUUUGGGGACAUAGAGUCAGGUCUGACCCACGGAGUUAGCUGUUAGUUAAUGGAGUCAGCUGUUGGAACUGGACUCGUGAUCUAGGACAUAGCUGGGUCGGGUCUGAGCCGUAAUGGAGUCAGCUGUGGGAACUGGACUCGUGAUCUAGGACAUAGCUGGGUCGGGUCUGAGCCGUAAUGGAGUCAACUGUUGGAACUGGGUUUUGGGAUCUGGGCCGUAACAGGGCCAUGGCAGAGCCACUAUCGGCUCGAUGAAUGGAAAGGAAACGUCUCAGUUGUAGCACUGGACUGGAAAAGAGCGGUGGUUUUCCACUCAGCGCAAGUGAACGUUUUUUAAAAGACUCGGCGACCGGCACUUUCUGCCGCCCGCGAUGACGAAACCCCACUGUCACCCCGCAGGCAUGAAAUACACCCCAGGAGGGAUAAAAACGGGCUGAAAGCAGCCCUUUGUCCCCGGGGCCCUUUUCUCAGUGAGGUCAGUUUCGCUUUUUUAUUUCUGGGAAAGUAUAAUUUGGGUCCGCUCGGCUGGCUUGGGUUUCAUCCGCGCUCCCAUUGGGCCGGGUCUGCAGUGAAUGCGCUAAGUGUUGGGUUACAGACCUACUUUUAAAACGGCUGUGAUUUCCACCAAGAAAAAAAAAAAGAAGAGAAAAGUCCGAGCGGAAGGUCUCAGCUACUUAAGAGUCGCUGAAAAAAACGAAAUUUGAAACUCAGUGUCUGUUCAUGAUGAUAAACUCGUUAAGAUGCCCAUGCAUAUUAAAUGGCAUCUCAUCUUCUUCAUACUCUCGAAGCACACAGAGGACGUUACGUGAAAGUUGAAAAUACUCUCUCAAAAGAAUCUCAGGGAAUCACCAAAUUGGGAAACAUCAAUACUAAGGCAAUGCUAACGCAACAUUAAGGUGGUGUUUAGGCAACUCUAACACAAUGUUAAGGCAACACUAAGGUGGUGUUUAUGCAACUCUAACACAAUGUUAAGGCAACAUUAAGGGAAGGUCAAGGCAGAAAUGGGGGCAAGCUUUUGCCAUGGCUCUCAUCUCUAUAACCAAGAGUGUCAGGUGCCACUAUGUGAAACAUUAGUCAAAAGUGAGGAAAUGUAACAUGCAACAUUAAGGCAACACUAAGGUGCAUCACUAAACAAACACUAAACCCAUACUAAGGCAACACUAAGGCAAUGAGAAGGUAACGUUAAGGCAACACUAAGGCAAUGUGAAGGUAACGUUAAGGCAACACUAAGGCAAUGUGAAGGUAACGUUAAGGCAACACUAAGGCAAUGCGAAGGUAACGUUAAGGCAGCUCGCCCUAUAACUGUUUUGGAGGCUGGUCUUCGCCCUGUCUCUCAUCUCCAUAAGCGAGAGGGCCUGGCGCCUGGACCUAAUUACAAAUUAAUCACAAGUAAGCGUCUAGACUGCAGUUAUGUCAGGAAAAGCCUCUCGCCUUAAAAGGAAGAGUAGCUGGCUUUCUCGGUUUGAGAAAGAAACCUUAGCAUACGCCAGAGCUGCCAGCUAGCAGGAAUGUCUUGAAAAGGGAAACUGACUGACGAUGUGCCAGGUCAGGCCUUGAUCCGCUCCAGGGUCAGUCUGCUAUCUCAGGUGGAUUAAACCAAAUUGUAUCUGUUUGACUUAAUAAUAGACAGAACUGCUCUGCAUUUGUGCAUUAGCAUACUGUAUAUAACAUAUGAUUAUCGAGCCCAUAUAUUAACUGUAAUCAUGGGUAUCUGUGCUGUUUGUAUAGAAUAUGCAGCCUACUAGAAAGUGAAGACUGCUAGUCAGCUUUUUUGUAAUCAUUUGAGAUCAUUUUUGUAACAUUAGGUAGUAUAUUAGUUUAGCAUACCAGUUAUAGCAGUUAUGUUAAACCAACAGACCAAACCCAUGUCCUUGCCUAUAUGCACACACAAAUGCGCACACACUCACUCACACCCACACACACGCGCACACCCACACACACACACACAAACACACACACACACACACACACACACACACACACACACACACACACACACCACCUAGAAAUGAACAUAUAAGAGACAGUUCUCACAGACACACAUAUACACACAAACACACACACCCCACCUAGAAAUGAACACAGAGGGAGGGACUGUUCAGAUUCCGAUUGGGGUAAUGUCCUGUCACAUGCGUUUAUGAUGCUCAGGGACAUGAGUAGAUCAUUCAGGACUGUUUUCAAGCCAUGUCUGUCUCACUUGGGAGAUAAGAAAUAUCGCAUCUUAAUCCAUCCAGACACUCUUAAUUUGAUUUCCCUGUGUCCCUGGAUGUAGGGGGGGAGGAAAUGAGGUCAUAGCACAAAUGUUUUCACAUGACUUGGCUCUAUUACCCCAGAGAUUUCUUACGGAACAUCAGUAGGUCAUAGAGUUCUGAUGUGGAACACUGCUUUGCAGUACUAGAAAACAUUGUAGCGUGCAGUAGCGUCCAAAGCCUCCAUAAACAAACAUGUGUCUCCUUCCAUAGACAUUACUUUUAUAUUGCACUAAUGGUAACACUAAAGUUCAACUCUCCCCCCAUAACCAUAUCGUAAAGGUUUUAUGGCAGAUGCCGUAUACUAUCAGGAACGUUUUGUGAUAGAUCUUUUAAGUGAUACAACAACAGUGUCAUGUGACCAUUCAUUGUCAAUUGUUAAAACUGUCAAAAAGACAGCUCCCGACAUCAUGUUUGACACCAUGACAUCUCACUAGCAUGUUGCAUAGGCUAUUACAGCAUAGAAAAAUGAGUGCUGUCAUGACAGUUACCCAUACUUGAUGCAUAAC